GACGAACGCUGGCGGCGUGCUUAACACAUGCCAGUCGAACGGAAAGGCCCUGCGUUUGUGGGGUGCUCGAGUGGCGAACGGGUGCGUAACACGUGAGUAUCCUGCCCUUGACUUUGGGGUAACUUCAGGAAACUGGGGCUAAUACCGGAUAGGAGCCCCUCCUGCAUGGUGGGGGUUGGAUCGUUUCGGCGGGCGGGGAUGGACUCGCGGCUUAUCAGCUUGUUGGUGGGGUAGUGGCUUACCAAGGCUUUGACGGGUAGCCGGCCUGAGAGGGUGAACGGCCACCUUGGGACUGAGAUACGGCCCAGACUGCUACGGGAGGCAGCAGUGGGGAAUAUUGCACAAUGGGCGGAAGCCUGAUGCAGAAACGCCGCGUGCGGGAUGACGGCCUUCGGGUUGUAAACCGCUUUCGCCUGUGACGAAGCGUGAGUGACGGUAAUGGGUAAAGAAGCACCGGCUAACUACGUG
rnacentral:rRNA from 1 species